rnacentral:rRNA from 1 species
CACGUAGGGGGCAAGCGUUGUCCGGAUUUAUUGGGCGUAAAGAGCUCGUAGGCGGUUCGCUAAGUCGGGUGUGAAACCUCCAGGCUCAACCUGGAGACGCCACCUGAUACCGGUGUGACUCGAGUCCGGUAGGGGAGCGUGGAAUUCCUGGUGUAGCGGUGAAAUGCGCAGAUAUCAGGAGGAACACCAGCGGCGAAGGCGGCGCUCUGGGCCGGAACUGACGCUGAGGAGCGAAAGCGUGGGUAGCAAACAGG